AUGAAUUAAAUAUUUAGUAUAUUUCAUUUACAAUGAUAACGACUAUAUUCUAGAAUUCAUAAAGUAUUACUGUAAAUUAACUUAUUUAUAUUACAUACCUUUUGCAUAAUGGUUUAACAAAACAAUGAUUUAAAUUUUACCCGAAUUUAGAAGAUCUAAUUUUUUAGAAUAAAAUUAAUAAUGUUUCAAAAUUAUAAUUUAAUAAAAAUUAGGAGUGAAAGGCUUAUCAAUUCUAAAGAUAUCUGGAAUAAUUUAAAAUGUAUUAAGUACAAAAUAAAUUUUGAAUAAUAAAAUGUUAAUUUUUUUAUAAAGAAUUUAUGUUUAAAUUAAUAAGAAUUAAUCUUCAAUUAAAAUUUAUAAAAUUAAUUACUAUUUAAAUCUUAAAUUUAAAAUUAUAUUUAUAUUAAUUAAUAAAAAAAUUAUGUUAAAAUUAGUAUAAUAUUUUUAUUUGUAAAAGGAACUCGGCCUUCAUCUGUUUAUCAAAAAC
rnacentral:rRNA from 1 species